CAGAGGAGGCUUCGCCGUCCGAGGUGUCGCCUCCCUUCUCGGUGCCUGACGCAGCUUGAGGCGGCAGGUCUGCGGCUUCCUCGGCGUCCUUCCGCUUCUUCUCCGCCGUGGCUGGAGCAGACGUAGAGGCGGCCGUCAGAGUUGAGGUGGAAUCUCAACAGCCUGGCCGUGGACUGGGACUCGGACAUCCGUGGCAUAAAAGAAGACAGAGGAAACGAGUGGCCGUACAAAAUAAAUAAGCACACACAUGAGCAGACAAACCAUUAUUCUCAUCCGUAUACGGACUCAUUAUUUGGUCACACCAAUGUGGACUCCAUCGGCCUCCCUAUAUAGGUCAACAUAUCCGCCUUUAGGUUUAAAUCCAGCACAUUUCCGACUUAAACAACAGACCAGGAAAAAUU